UACGGAGGAUGCAAGCGUUAUCCGGAUUUAUUGGGUUUAAAGGGUGCGCAGGUUGGUUGAUAAGUCAGUGGUGAAAGUCUGUCGCUUAACGGUAGGAUUGCCAUUGAUACUGUUAGACUUGAAUAUGGAUGAGGUAGGCGGAAUGUGUAGUGUAGCGGUGAAAUGCAUAGAUAUUACACAGAACACCGAUUGCGAAGGCAGCUUACUAAUCCAUCAUUGACGCUGAGGCACGAAAGCGUGGGGAUCAAACA
rnacentral:rRNA from 1 species